UGCUUAGGGUGGAUGGAGGAAAGUUUGGAGGAAACGUCAAAAUAAAUGGCAAACCGAAUCUGAUCAUAGGAUCGACAGUUGGGCGUCCAUCUAUGGAGAUUACGCUCCAUCCAAAGCUGGGAGAUGGUGGCACAGAAAGCAAGCUUGCCGGGAAUGUCGGAAUAGAAGGGCCCGAGAAUGUCAUGUCAACCCAGAUCCAUUCUCUACGGAAGGGGAUGAUGGAUCUUUUGGUGGGCCAACAGUGGGAGAGGACUUUCUUCCAGAUGACAGUAGAGAAGGGGUAGGAUAAGAAAAGAUGUUCUUUGUCUUCAGAGUCGUUCUAGCAAAGGCAACAAGCUGAGGAGGUGGGUAUGUGGCGAUGGAUGAGGAAAGAUUGGGUGGGAAGGCAAUCAGAGGCCGCGCACCAAGUAGUGAAGUUUGAACCAUGUUAAAGUGGUUACAUUGACCCUUUGUACCGUGGGGAUACAAAGGGCAUGUGUGUGUAUGGGUCGGUGGGAUGCCUUAACUCCCAUGAUUUUCCCUUGCCUCUUAGUAUAGGAUUUUAUAUUCCAUUUACUUGUUUACUUACCUAGUUUGUCUUGUUUCUAUUUUGGGUAGAUCUUUAUAGGUUGUAGUUUCCUAUUUUGACUGUACUCGUUUUAGCUAUAAAUAAUAAAGGCAAGGGAGAUUGCUAGUUACGAUUCUGUGAAUUAGCAGUCUCGGUUCAUCUCUUCUUCUCUCUUCUCUCUUAUGGUGGUUGCUGGGUGUUAGGUUUGCCUAUUGUUACAUGCUAUCAGAGCCAUAAAAAUCCAGUAAUCCCCUUCCAUUGUUCUAGGUAUUGUUCUACAGCAAAGGAUCGAUCUCCCUACUGGUUGCAGCAACUUGUGCUUCCUAUCUUCAUUGUUUUUGGCCUGGUUUAUGAUGAUACAAGGACAACCAGGCUUCUCUCUACUACUACCAUGAUUAGGAUGCUGUUUCUCUGAAUUUGAGACUCACUUUCUGAGUAUUAUAUGGCUGCUGCCCGUGUUUCUGGCCCUAUUUACUACUGAUAUUGAAAUUGCUACUGGCUGCUGCCCUACCUAUGAUGCUGCUAGCCUUUUGAAGGCUGUUUCUGCUCACCCUAAGGAAGACUCGACCUCAAUGGCAGCCCCUUCUAUUGGCUUGAUCAGGUGCUGCUAAGCUCUCUAUUGGUAUCGGCGGAUGCUCUGUUUUCUGAAGGUUUUUCUGCUGCAAAGUUUUAGUCAUAACUUCUGGCCUAGUUCUCUAAUCCAGCUCAGGUUUUGGGGUUUUAUUCCCCUUCUCAGGUGCCUUCUUCGACCCUAUUUUGAGCCUAUUCUGAACUUUUUUUUACCCUAAAAUACCCUACUUGUUGCUACCGCAAGUGCCCUGUGUGUGAGUUUUAUCUGCUGCCAAAUAUUGUUUCUACUACAGAUCAGUGUGUGUUGUCUUACUUGGGUUUCUACUACUUGUUACCUUAUUCUCAACCUCUUUGGUUGAGUUUCUACUCAUUUGCUGUUGUAAUGGCUGAAGCAAAGGCACCUACUGAUCGUGUUCAAGUCCAGGUGACUAGUAUUAAGCUUUCCGGAGUUUCUAACUAUCUUCUGUGGGCCCAGGCUAUACAAGCCUAUAUUCAUGCCAAGGGGAAGCUUCAAUACUUUAUUGAUAACCCCCCAAAAUUGAUUCUAAGGAUCCCACUACUACUAAAACUGCUUAUGAUGAUUGGAUGCGUGAGAACUGUCGUUAGAAUAUGGUUGUGGAACAGUGUUGACCCUUCUGUUGCUUCCAAUGUUAUGUUUCACUCUUGCCAAGGGGUUUGGGAAGACUUACAGGAGAGUUUCUCACAGGGGAAAAAUAUUUCUCGUACCUAUGACCUGUACAAAAAGAUGAUCAACUUCAAGCAAGGUGACAAAACUUGAGUACUUUAGUGAGUAUAAAGGCAUUCUUGAAGAACUUCAAAUACAUCAGCUUCUUACCACUAAUCUGGAUUAGUUAAAGCAACAACGUGCUGAAUUCCACGUAGCAAAUAUCUUGGCUGGACUUCAUUCCUAAUUAUCAGUAUGUUAAAGGCCAACUUUUUACUGGCGAGAAUGUGCCCUCUCUCAAUAAGGUCUUCUCAUGUCUUCAUCGUUUGGUUAUUCCGUCUAAGGUUGACUCGUCUACUAAAGAUAACUCUGCCAUUGUUGCUGGUCAUGGUUCUGGAAAAGGCUGUGGUCGUGGUUCCUAUGGCCGUGGUACAGGUUGACAUCUAGUUGACAAGUCCUCUCGUCAAUGCAACUAUUGUAGUAAGCCAAAUUAUACUUUGGAAACAUGUUGUGCAAAACAUGGUCGGCUAAUGAGUUGGCCAAAACUGUCACUACUGAUUUCGAAUGUGGUACUUCUGGAGACACCACACUUGCAUCUGCAUUAGGAGUUUCUACUACUAGUACUGUGUCUCGCGAUGACUUUAAUCAACUACUCAAGCGUCUUUAACAACUUGAGUCUGCAUCAGCCUCCACUUCUGCUGCUACUUUGGCCCACAUAGAACCUUUAGACCAGGAGGACGAUUGGUGGAGGGCUUGAGCGGACUGGCUUGUAUUUUGGAUGGAAUUGGUCUGACUACUACUGCUACUACUACUAGUGGAUCUCCACUUCAUUGGCACUUUCAUUUUGGGCGUCCCUCCUUAUCUAAGCUUCAGUUGAUGGUCCCCAUUUGUCGCUCUCUUUCUCGUAUUGAGUGUGAGGCUUGUGAACUUGGGAAGCAUCAUUGCUCCACUUUUCCUACUCGAAGUGUGCCUUGUAGUUCCUUAUUUUCAUUAGUUCAUUUAGAUAUUUGGGGUCCCUGUCGGGUUAGUAAUAUAUUAGGUUUUUCGUACUUAGUUAGUUUUGUUGAUGACAAUUCUCACUUGACUUGGAUCCACUUGUUAAAAGAUUGGUCACAAUUUCUUUCCGUGUUCAACAACCUUUAUCAUGAAAUAGAAACUCAGUUUGAUGCGUCAAUU